rnacentral:rRNA from 1 species
UACGGAGGAUGCAAGCGUUAUCCGGAUUUAUUGGGCGUAAAGCGUCCGCAGGUGGCUCAUCAAGUCUGCUGUCAAAGCGCGAGGCUUAACUUCGUAACGGCAGUGGAAACUGAUAGGCUUGAGAAUGAUAGGGGCAGAGGGAAUUCCCAGUGUAGCGGUGAAAUGCGUAGAGAUUGGGAAGAACACCGGUGGCGAAAGCGCUCUGCUGGGUCAUAUCUGACACUGAGGGACGAAAGCUAGGGGAGCGAAAGGG